rnacentral:rRNA from 1 species
AUUGAACGCUUGCGGCAGGCCUAACACAUGCAAGUCGAGCGAGCGGCGGACGGGUGAGCAAUGUAUGGGGACUGCCCGAUAGAGGGGGAUUACUACUGGAAACGGUGGCUAUUACCGCAUACUAUCGGAUAACCCAUAUGGGAUCAGCUAGUAGGUGGGGUAAAGGCUCAACUAGGCGACGAUCCCUAGCUGGUCUGAGAGGAUGAUCAGCCACACUGGGGCUGAGACGCGGCCCAGACUCCUACGGAGGCAGCAGUGGGGAAUAUUGCACGAUGGGCGCAAACCUGGUGCAGCCAUGCCGCGUGUAUGAAGAAAGCCUUAGGGUUGGCAAGUACUAUCAGCGGGGAGGCGUUACUCGCAGGAGACGCACAGGCUAACUCCGUGCCAGCAGCCGCGGUAAUAC